rnacentral:rRNA from 1 species
UUUGAUCCUGGCUCAGAUUGAACGCUGGCGGCAUGCCUUACACAUGCAAGUCGAACGGCAGCAUAGGAGCUUGCUCCUGAUGGCGAGUGGCGAACGGGUGAGUAAUAUAUCGGAACGUGCCCUAGAGUGGGGGAUAACUAGUCGAAAGACUAGCUAAUACCGCAUACGAUCUACGGAUGAAAGUGGGGGAUCGCAAGACCUCAUGCUCCUGGAGCGGCCGAUAUCUGAUUAGCUAGUUGGUGGGGUAAAAGCCUACCAAGGCAACGAUCAGUAGCUGGUCUGAGAGGACGACCAGCCACACUGGGACUGAGACACGGCCCAGACUCCUACGGGAGGCAGCAGUGGGGAAUUUUGGACAAUGGGGGCAACCCUGAUCCAGCAAUGCCGCGUGAGUGAAGAAGGCCUUCGGGUUGUAAAGCUCUUUUGUCAGGGAAGAAACGGUAGUAGCGAAUAACUAUUACUAAUGACGGUACCUGAAGAAUAAGCACCGGCUAACUACGCGCCAGCAGCCGCGGUAAUACGUAGGGUGCAAGCGUUAAUCGGAAUUACUGGGCGUAAAGCGUGCGCAGGCGGUUGUGUAAGUCAGAUGUGAAAUCCCCGGGCUCAACCUGGGAAUUGCAUUGAGACUGCACGGCUAGAGUGUGUCAGAGGGGGUAGAAUUCCACGUGUAGCAGUGAAAUGCGUAGAUAUGUGGAGGAUACCGAUGGCGAAGGCAGCCCCUGGGAUACACUGACGCUCAUGCACGAAGCGUGGGGAGCAAACAGGAUAGAUACCUGGUAGUCCACGCCCUAACGAUGUCUACUAGUGUCGGGUCUAUGACUGGUAACSCAGCUACSSGUGGAAGUAGACCGCCUGGGGGAGUACG